GACGAACGCUGGCGGCGUGCUUAACACAUGCAAGUCGAACGAAGAGCGAUGGAAGCUUGCUUCUAUCAAUCUUAGUGGCGAACGGGUGAGUAACGCGUAAUCAACCUGCCCUUCAGAGGGGGACAACAGUUGGAAACGACUGCUAAUACCGCAUACGAUCUAAUCUCGGCAUCGAGGAUAGAUGAAAGGUGGCCUCUACAUGUAAGCUAUCACUGAAGGAGGGGAUUGCGUCUGAUUAGCUAGUUGGAGGGGUAGCGGGCCACCAAGGCGAUGAUCAGUAGCCGGUCUGAGAGGAUGGACUGCCACAUUGGGACUGAGACACGGCCCAGACUCCUACGGGAGGCAGCAGUGGGGAAUCUUACGCAAUGGACGAAAGUCUGACGGGGCAACGCCGCGUGAGUGAUGACGGCCUUCGGGUUGUAAAGCUCUGUUAAUCGGGACGAAAGGCCUUCUUGCGAAUAGUGAGAAGGAUUGACGGUACCGGAAUAGAAAGCCACGGCUAACUACGUG
rnacentral:rRNA from 1 species